AAGAAAGACCACUAGUAUGUCAUGCAAUGGUUCAUUUGAUCACUAGAAAAUUAUACUGACUAGCAAAUUCCUUUCAGGUGACUUGCAAAGUGGCAAAUAAAGAAUUAGCCAGAUUCUGUGUAAAAUAUACAUGCCUCUCUUGGUAUUCAAUUUAGUCCAUCUCCAGCAAAAGUAUAAGAAACAAUAUUUAGUAACAAUCAAUUGAUCAAGAAGAUUUCUAGCCGUAGUCUUGUAAGAAUGCAUAGAUGUUUAAUCAAUUCAUGACCAUGUAAAUAUAACAUGGUGUUAUAGGUUUUGCUAGACAAUAAUAUAAUUUUAUUUUUUUGUAAGAACUUAAAA
rnacentral:misc_RNA from 1 species